rnacentral:rRNA from 1 species
CCUANGGGUGGCAGCAGUGAGGAAUAUUGGUCAAUGGGCGAAAGCCUGAACCAGCCAUCCCGCGUGCAGGAAGACGGCCCUAUGGGUUGUAAACUGCUUUUCCAGGAGGAGAAACUCUCGUACGUGAUACGGGAUUGACGGUACCCUGGGAAUAAGCAUCGGCUAACUCCGUGCCAGCAGCCGCGGUAAUACGGAGGAUGCGAGCGUUAUCCGGAUUCAUUGGGUUUAAAGGGUGCGUAGGCGGACUAUUAAGUCAGUGGUGAAAUCCUGCAGCUUAACUGCAGAACUGCCAUUGAUACUGAUAGUCUUGAGUUUGGUUAAGGUAGGCGGAAUGUGUAAUGUAGCGGUGAAAUGCUUAGAUAUUACACAGAACACCGAUUGCGUAGGCAGCUUACUGAGCCGACACUGACGCUGAGGCACGAAAGCGUGGGGAUCGAACAGGAUUAGAUACCCGUNUANUC